UGCCAGCCGCCGCGGUAAGACGGAGGGCUCUAACGUUGUUCGGAAUCACUGGGCAUAAAGCGCACGUAGGCGGCUUGUUAAGUCUGAUGUGAAAGCCCUCGGCUCAACCGGGGAACUGCAUCGGAAACUGACAGGCUCGAGGACGGCAGGGGUAAGUGGAACUCCAGGUGGAACGGUGAAAUGUGUAGAUAUCUGGAGGAACACCGGUGGCGAAAGCGGCUUACUGGACCGUCUCUGACGCUGAGGUGCGAAAGCUAGGGUAGCGAACGGGAUUAGAUA
rnacentral:rRNA from 1 species